rnacentral:rRNA from 1 species
CCGGACGUACGAAGUAUGAAUUUAAUACCCGCAUCUUACCUCAUAGUUCGUGUGAUUAUCUCUCAAUUUCUGACUUGAAUCGGACUGAUCUCUUCGGGUCCCUGAAUAUACAUUUAUUUAUGCAGGUGACCCUAAGUUUACGUUCUACCGGCUCUCCUAUUCUUAGGGGUUAAAGAGAACACGCCAGUCCCUAAUUGGCGACGGCGGCCUCUUCAUACGGAGUCGGGAGUCCACUCCCUCUCAGCGACCCCUCGCAGCAGCGCCAACCUACCUGCGGCGGGAAAACGGAACACUGCCUCCUUCGGCGCCUACUCCCGCGCGACGCGGUACGCGCACGCGGACUCCCGCGACGGCAGCGCAACGGCGACACGGAGAAGGUCGGGGUCGGUAAGUAGGCGAGACCGGCAACGUAGGGCACCUACUCGUCGGCUCCGCGGACCUGCGCCCUCGGCGAUCGCUACAACGUCUAGCAAACUAGGUCACGUUCUUUUUGACUUGAAAAGAAGGAACCAGUUCCUAGAGAAGGCCAACUACGAAGUCGGUAGAUAAGUAGAGUGGUACAGGUGUAUGAUACACGUCUUUUCGUCAAUUAGAAGUCUAGUACCCUUCUUGUUUUUAAUUUGCCUUAAUCACAAAGGACUAACUAAAGGGCUACGAGCAAGUCCGUCAGCGACACGACUGCGGCAAAUUCCCAAGCACGAACUGAGUAACCGAUGUCGGCGGCGGCUGACCAUCCCAGGGCGACUACCACAGACGCGGUGGCCCUCCUCGCUCCGGCGUAGUGGGGCGCGGCCUCCUGCGGGGUACGCGGUCUCCCGCGGAGCACACCACGAAUACACGCCCACUGGCACGGCGGCCCGCUCCUGACGCCACAGCGCGCGGGCGGCCACCGGUGGCGCGACAUCCCGAUCUUGUCUCCGCAGAGGAUACGAAAACACCGGAAGUGUGAGAGCCAUCUCGGCUCACGACUAACAACAUUAUAGUUUCAUUUCCUCUGUUUCUUCUCUGUGUUUAUUAAGAGAAUCAGAUAACGUUCAGAUAACGUUACACACUCUGGGUGAGUAUAUGUCCGACUUCCCCACACAACCCCUCUGUGGAGAAAGGGUUGUCUAUGAAAAACCCUCCGUAAGGAGGGUAUAUUAACUAGUGUACAAAAUAAAAAAUUGUGAGG